rnacentral:rRNA from 1 species
UACGUAGGGUGCGAGCGUUAAUCGGAAUUACUGGGCGUAAAGCGUGCGCAGGCGGUUCGUUGUGUCCGUCGUGAAAGCCCCGGGCUUAACCUGGGAACUGCGAUGGAAACUAGCGAGCUGGAGUGUGGCAGAGGGGGGUGGAAUUCCGCGUGUAGCAGUGAAAUGCGUAGAGAUGCGGAGGAACACCGAUGGCGAAGGCAGCCCCCCUGGGUCAACACUGACGCUCAUGCACGAAAGCGUGGGGAGCAAACAGG